rnacentral:rRNA from 1 species
UGAGCAAUCUGCCCUUCUCAUCGGAAUAAGCGUUGGAAACGACGUCUAAUGCCGAAUACGACCUCCUUUCGCAUGAUCGGAGGUGGAAAGCUCCGGCGGAGAAGGAUGAGCUCGCGGCCUAUCAGCUAGUUGGUGUGGGUAAUGGCCCACCAAGGCGACGACGGGUAGCCGGCCUGAGGAGGGUGACCCGGCCACACUGGGACUGAGACACCGGCCCAGACUCCGUACGGGAGCAG